GACGAACGCUGGCGGCGUGCUUAACACAUGCAAGUCGAACGGUGAAGCGCUUGCCUUUUUGGUGGGUGUGGAUGAGUGGCGAACGGGUGAGUAACACGUGAGUAACCUGCCCUCUUCUUCUGGAUAACCUCAUGAAAGUGUGGCUAAUACGGGGUAUUCCGGGUCUGUCGCAUGGCGGGUUUGGGAAAGAUUGCGCCUUUGGGUGUUUUCGGUGGGGGAUGGGCUCGCGGCCUAUCAGCUUGUUGGUGGGGUGAUGGCCUACCAAGGCGGUGACGGGUAGCCGGCCUGAGAGGGUGGACGGCCACACUGGGACUGAGACACGGCCCAGACUCCUGCGGGAGGCAGCAGUGGGGAAUAUUGCACAAUGGGCGCAAGCCUGAUGCAGCGACGCCGCGUGAGGGAUGGAGGCCUUCGGGUUGUGAACCUCUUUCGCCAGUGAAGCAGGCCUGCUCCUGUGUGGGUGGGUUGACGGUAGCUGGAUAAGAAGCGCCGGCUAACUACGUG
rnacentral:rRNA from 1 species